rnacentral:rRNA from 1 species
AUUGAACGCUGGCGGCAUGCUUUACACAUGCAAGUCGAACGGUAACAGGCCGCAAGGUGCUGACGAGUGGCGAACGGGUGAGUAAUGCAUCGGAACGUGCCCAGUCGUGGGGGAUAACGCAGCGAAAGCUGUGCUAAUACCGCAUACGAUCUAUGGAUGAAAGCGGGGGACCGUAAGGCCUCGCGCGAUUGGAGCGGCCGAUGUCAGAUUAGGUAGUUGGGGGGGUAAAGGCUCACCAAGGCAACGAUCUGUAGCUGGUCUGAGAGGACGAACAGCCACACUGGGACUGAGCCACGGCCCAGACUCCUACGGGAGGCAGCAGUGGGGAAUUUUGGACAAUGGGCGCAAGCCUGAUCCAGAAAUGCGGCGUGCAGGAAGAAGGCCUUCGGGUUGUAAACUGCUUUUGUACGGAACGAAAAGGUUUGGGUUAAUACCCUGGGCCGAUGACGGUACCGUAAGAAUAAGCACCGGCUAACUACGUGCCAGCCGCCGCGGUAA